AUGGCCGAGUGGUCUAAGGCGCCAGACUCAAGUUCUGGUCCUCUUACGAGGGCGUGGGUUCAAACCCCACUUCUGACAUCACAAUUUUGCUCUUUUUUUCCUGCUAUAUUCUUUUUUCUUUUUUAUAAAGAUGAUUUUUUCCAUUUCUUUUCAAGCCAGGGAUUGCCAAUCCCUUCCCUUGCAGUUUGUUUUGCCCUUUUUUCUCUUGCUAUAUUCUUAUAUAUAUAUAUAUAUAUAUAUAUAUGA
rnacentral:rRNA from 1 species